rnacentral:rRNA from 1 species
AGGAAAAGAAACUAACAAGGAUUCCCCUAGUAACGGCGAGUGAAGAGGGAAAAGCUCAAAUUUUGAAUCUGGUGUCUUUGACUCCCGAGUUGUAAUCUAGAGAAGUGUUUUCCGUGUCGGACCGUGCACAAGUUCCCUGGAACGGGGCGUCAUAGAGGGUGAGAAUCCCGUAUAUGGCAUGGACURCCGAUGCUUUUGUGAUACACUCUCAACGAGUCGAGUUGUUUGGGAAUGCAGCUCAAAAUGGGUGGUAAAUUCCAUCUAAAGCUAAAUAUUGGCGAGAGACCGAUAGCGAACAAGUACCGUGAGGGAAAGAUGAAAAGCACUUUGGAAAGAGAGUGAAACAGUACGUGAAAUUGUUGAAAGGGAAGCGUUUGAAGUCAGUCGUAUCUGGCGGGAUUCAGCCGGGCUUUUGCCAGGUGUACUUCUCGUCCGAUGGGUCAGCAUCAAUUUCGACCGGGGGAAAAAGACGUGUGGAAUGUGGCUGUCUUCGGGCAGUGUUAUAGCCAUGCGUUGUAUGCCUCGGUUGGGAUUGAGGAACGCAGCGCGCCUAUAGGCCAGGGGUUCGCCUCUUGACACGUGCUUAGGAUGCUGGCAUAAUGGC